UAACCUGCGGAGGGAUCAUUACUGA
rnacentral:rRNA from 1 species